GAUGAACGCUGGCGGCGUGCCUAAUACAUGCAAGUCGAGCGAACAGCUAAGUAGCUUGCUCCUUUGACGUUAGCGUCGGACGGGUGAGUAACACGUGGGUUUCCUACUUAUUAGACUGGACUAAAUCCGAUAAACCGUAGCUAAUGCAGCAUAACAUGUUGAACCGCAUGGUUCUACCGUGCAUGGCGUCUUUGCUGUCACUUAUAUAUGGAUCCGCGCCGUAUUAGCUAGUUGGUGAGGUAACGGCUCACCAAGGCAACGAUACGUAGCCGACCUGAGAGGGUGAUCCGCCACACUGGAACUGAGACACGGUCCAGACUCCUACGGGAGGCAGCAGUAGGGAAUCUUACGGAAUGGGCGAAAGCCUGACGGAGCAACGCCGCGUGAGUGAUGAAGGAGUUAGGAUGGUAAAGCGAUGUUGGUAGGAAAGAACAAAUGCGUAAGUAACUGUGCGGGUAUUGACGGUACCUAAUGAAUAAGCCACGGCUAACUACGUG
rnacentral:rRNA from 1 species